CAGUGAAUGAGCAUUCCUGUCGCUCCACAUUCUCACCAGCAUUUAGUGUCAUCGAAUAGAUUCAGUUUCCCUCAGAGUGCUUUUUCCUGCCUGCUGUAUGUCAUGAAUUGAGUUUCCGCUCUCUUCCCGCCAGCUGGGAUGUAAGCUCUGGGGUGAGUCUGCCCUCCUUCCUCCGUAGGCCAUGCCGGGCAGUGGGGCAUGUUCACGGCAGGAAUGGGGGCGUCAGCCGGGAAGAAGGGAACACCAGGAGUGUGGGAAAGUCACUGAUUCACUGUCGCCCGUGGGCAGUUCGGACAGACAGCACAAAACACUACCAUUCUCCAGAUCUGUGUGCCCACCGUGAACACUAAGGGAAUCUCCUGACGGGAGCUUAGUUUGGGAGCGGGGUGGGGGGUAGGACGUCUGCGCACAGUCCUCUUCGGUUCUCUGCGCUGGGAGCUCGAAGCCGCCUCUGAAGGGCUUCCUCACCCUGUGCCGUUCGCCUCAGCUUGUCUCCAUGAGUGGGAUCCUCAAGGCACACGGAGAUCAGAACAGUCCCCUCCCAAGUGCGCUGACAUGAUCGCAUUGACUCAGUAAUACGAUGUAAAAUUAUGAAAAUAAGGGUAUUUCCUAGCCCAGUGAGACUAGCAUGGAAACCAGUCAGCCGGACAACUACAAUCUAAGUGCAGAAAAGUGGCUUUCCUGGUGGAGAGUCCUCUUCGGUGUGAACCUCCUGCCUUUCCCUGACUUUUUCCCAAUCCCUUCCUUUCCCAGUCCCUUGGCUGCUUUCUCUCAAACUUGUACAGUAUACUAGUAAAAAAAGUACAUAAAGGAGGACAUUUAAAAAAAUAGUUAUUCUAUCAUGACUGAAACCAAAAAUAUAUAAUUUCCUUAUUGGAGCAGUGAAGGUGAAAAAAUGUAGGACUUAUUCCACUAAAGGGUUUAUUAAUAACACUCCACUAAUAGCACAGACUUCAGGAGGUCGGCAGUUUGGCUGAGACGGUCCCGAGGGACGGACCUCAUCAAAGCUUUAAAAUGUAUGCCUUUCCUACAGAAGUCUCAUACAACCUUUCAAGCUGUUGGAGAUCAAAUCUUUUAGUGGCAGUAAUGAUCGGCUGACGUGAACAUUUAGUAGCUAUCUGAAGUGUCUGCAUCAAACCUUAGACAACUGGCAAGAUAAAAAUGAACAUCAACAUGAAAUGUUGAGAACAACCAAGAAAAGGCUAUCACCGUCCUUCCCUCCAACACAGCGCGACACAAGGAGGUCCCCACACCGCCCCGCUGUGGUGUCACAUGUCACGGGCGACGUCGUUCUGGCAUUUUUAUGUUGUGCCUCCUCUUGACAUUGUAGACGUGGGAAGGGGGAGCUGAUGUCUCCCUGGAUGCUUACUGAAGAUUCAAACGGACACUGCGGGGAUCCCGCAGUCAGCAGUGGGGCCCAGCUCAGAAACGCCGCAGACGGGUGCUGGAACCUGCCAGACCCCCACCCUGCAGCUUGUCACUGUGGGAUGCCGGAAAAGUUACUGGACUUCUGUAAAGCGGACAUGAAUUCUUAUUUUCCAACGUUUCUGGGAGAGUGAAUGUUCCAUUACAUUGACACUGUGAAAAAGGUCUGUCCGCGGGCCCACUGCCCUCCCCAGAUGACACCGCCAGCAUCCCCCAGAGGGAACACAUCUCUGCACGUGACUAUCCGGAAUUACUUUCAUUGCGCACGUUACACAAGGCAGACGUGCUGGAAGAACCUUAAGGGCAGAGGAAAAUUUUUCGUCGCGGUCACUCCAGGACCCCGGCUCACGGAGCGGCCUCCCCGGGGAGCAGCGGGUCUGGGCGGAGAGAACUACAAGCACGACGGGGCGCGGCCCGUUCGUAGGUUUCUGUUCCCACGUCAUCCGCAAAGCGGUGACCGUCCGGCCGCCCCCGACGACAGCGAGCGAAUGGGAAUCCUCCUUCGGGAGGCAGCGGCCGUGGAGGCGGGCGGACACUGAACCUGACGGAGGCCUGCACGCCGACGCCACGUUGGAGGGAGGGAGCCCCCCGCGGAGCCCAGGUCCCAGGCGGCCGGAGAUGCGGCUCAUUCUCCCGCUGCGGCGCCGCGAAGGGUGUUCAAAACAGUUGUCUCUGUGAUGAAUGGUUAUCUCCGUACUGAAGUGCAUGGGCCUUAAGAAGGUGAUGCCGGCCUCAGCAACAUGAGUCCCCUAGAAAUGAAGAUGAUUGAAUGGUUUGAAGUAUGCUAAUAUACAGAAAAUGCUGGUGCAGGCAGUUCUUCUGAAUACAGUUAUUCAGAAUCCAGGUGAAAAUCAUUUCACAAGUGUUAAUAAUGUAAUAAUUCUCUAUACACCAUGCUGGGGAUACAUACAAAUGCACCUGUGUGCAUGCACGCACACACAAAUUAUAAAUAUGUGAUAUUGUGAUUAUUAUAAGAAAUACAUAUUUAGUCUUUGUCCCAGUUUCUGGCUCACAGCUGCCAAAACCCUUGGAAUUUCCUAAGCGUUGAGAGUGUUAAAAGGUGUCUUCUGUUACGUUAAUGAGGGGAAUUUGGAAAGCACCUCAGGAUAGGGCCUGGCUGCCAGUGGAGCCAGAUUUGUGAUUAGAGGCUUAGAACUUUCAGACCCACUGGUGACUUCUAGGGAGGCGAGAGGGGCUGGAGUUCGAGCCAAUUGCCAGUGGCCCAUGAUUUAAUCAAUCGUGCCGGUGUAGUGAAGCCUCCCUACAAACCCCAAAGGACUGAGAUCGGGGAGCUUCCAGAUCGGUGAAUCCGUGGAGACUUGGGGAGAAUGCUGUGCUCCGAGAGAGAGCAGGGAAGCUCCAUGCCCUUCCCACACACCCUGCCCUACGCAUCUCUUCCGUCCAGCUGUUCCUGGGUGAUAUACUUCAUGAUACACUGGGAAUCUAGACGAUGCUCAGAAAGGAGCCUUAUUGGAUGGACUCACUCAACACAUGCAAACUCUCUGGAAGAAUAGCAUGAGGAACCCACCCCUUACGGUAGGCCAUGGAAGAGAGAAAAGAGCGCUGAUCUGUCUCUCAUGUCCCGAGUUUAUUUCAAGAGGAUCUACCUUGCCCACACCUCCCACCGCUGGGGACAGCAAACAUAAGCAGAACAACAAGUCCUGUUCUGGAGAAAUUACGAAAGUUCUGCCAGCACUGGGUGUGUAAGAUGCGAUUCAUAGUGACGACACAGACGGUGCCCCACUCAGAUGUCUACCUGCUCUGCCAAAAUCAAGUGGACACAAAACUUACCUCAUCAUCUCCCAUCAUAAAACUAGUUUUUUCUCUGUCACAAUGAAUAGCACGUCCCUCCACUCAGGAGCUGAUGGGAAAGCCAGGGUGAAGGUCUUGGCGUUUCUGGAAAGUCGACAUAUCUUGUCAUUUCUAUCUACAGUCUAUGUAUCUGAAUCCAUCCUCUCCAGCUGCAUUAGCACCGCCUCGUCCAAGCCGCCACCAUCUCUCUUACCAUAGCACAGUAACCGCCUUGUUUCCCUACCAUGGUUCUUGAGUCUGAAUCGGUUUCCCAUACUCUCCACCGAGCAUUUUAAAGUCAAAUCUGCCUCCCCACCUCCGCGCUGUAAUCCCUCAGUGGCUUCAGUGAUUAGAUUAUUGCAGAAAAGCUCUCCCCCCACCACCGCCUCCCUAGAAGGUUGUCCCCUGCGCCCCAUUGGUGUUGGGCAUGGGCACGUAGCUCAUUUUGGCCAAUGGGAUGUUAGCUCAUGUGCCACAAAGCAGAUGGCCCUCUUGGAAGAGUUGAACAUGGUGGGUCUUUGAACUUUCUGUGUAACUUGAUUAUUUUGGGACGUAAACCCUACGGACCUUCUCAGAGUCCCUGGAUGACUGCCUCCUUUUUUUUUUUGCUGGGCUCUCAACCUUCCCCGGGACCCUCUGGCCCUUGGACUCAGCUGAAACCCCUCGCGUGUCCCCAGCGGUUGCCCGGGGAAUGGAGGUGUGGGCAAGUUAGAGCUUCUUGAGAUAAACGCGGGGCAUAGGAGACAGACCAGCGCGCUCUUUUCCGCCUUACGCCUGUGCCAGUCUGCUGUCAGGCUCACCCUGGUGCAGCAUCGCCAACGAGGAGCCCCUGCAGGCAGCCCGGGCCCUAGGCUGAGGCCCCAGCGUGGCCGGCGCGGAGCAGAGCCCCCGUGGCAGACCUCACACCCACAGUGGAAGCCAGGCCCACCCAGCUGACUCGUCUGAGCAAGAAAUAAACGCUCACCAUCUCAUUCUCCUGAGACGGGGCGGUGUUUGUUAUGCAGCUGCAGCUCAUUCAUACAACUUCAUGUAAAGUCACCCUAAAAAUUCUUCGCAGGACCCAGAAUGCCUAUCCUGGGUCUCCUGGGCCACCCCGGCCUGCGUGCCGCCUCCGCCUCCUCCACACACUGACCCCCACCACUCUUUCUGGUCUUCAGAGGCACCAAAGCUCUUGCCCAGCCUGGCACCUGCAUGUUCUCUCGGCCUGGAUUUGACUCCUCUCUGGGUCUAGUCAACCUCGACCCACACUCGGCCUAUCCUUACCCACCCCUGCCCCAGGAGAACAACCCUGCUACUGCUCCCCACCCAAAUUCUAGACCAGGAAUCACCCCCGUAUUACAUAUUCCCACCUCUGUACAUUCCUUCCAUGGCACUCAGAAGGACUGUAAUUUAUUAACUGGGAAAAUAUUUAUUUAAUGUCUCUUAUGCCAAAUAGCCCCAUCAUAUCAGGGACUACAUCAGCCAUGGUUACUUGUGUACCUCCAUGACCAGCACACGCCUGACGUGAUGAAUACUUGAAUAAACAGCUGAGUCACCCCUAUUUCCUUGAUUGGAACAACCUAAAAUAGUAUUUACACAGCUAUCUCAUAUUGACUGUUGAUAAAACUAUCAUGUUUUAGAGCUCCUCAAUUGCAGGUUGUAGCUGAGCAGACAAUUUCCUUGCCUAGAGGAUCCUGUUUCAUGUCCUGUCACUACCUCCAAGUACGUCACAGUCUGAAAUGACAGCCAACAACCUACCUUUUCCUUGUUGUAUUUCUGGCAGUAACUUUUAAUAAGUGAAUUAUGAUACUGUAUAUGUAAGCAAAAAUAUUAAAAGAAAUUAUAACAUA